AAAGCAGGUUGCAAUUACAGCGCUUCAUUUUGUGGAAGUACUGACAUUAAUGAUUUUGCCUUUAUGAGGGUAAAAUCGUGACAGAUUGACAUGGACAAUU